rnacentral:tRNA from 1 species
GGCAGUUUGGCCGAGUGGUCUGAGGCGCUGGCUUUAGGCACCAGUCCGCAAGGGCGUCGGGUCGAAUCCCACCACUGUCA